UCCGGUUGAUCCUGCCGGAGGUUACUGCUAUCGAGGUUCGACUAAGCCAUGCGAGUCGAAUGUAGCAAUACAUGGCGUACUGCUCAGUAACACGUGGAUAACCUACCCUUGAGAUGGGGAUAAACCCGGGAAACUGGGUAUAAUACCCGAUAGAUCUCGACUGCUGGAAUGCAUCGAGCUCCAAAGCUCCGGCGCUCAAGGAUGGGUCUGCGGCCUAUCAGGUAGUAGUGGGUGUAGUGUACCUACUAGCCUACGACGGGUACGGGUUGUGAGAGCAAGAGCCCGGAGAUGGAUUCUGAGACACGAAUCCAGGCCCUACGGGGUGCAGCAGGCGCGAAAACUUUACAAUGCUGGAAACAGCGAUAAGGGGACCUCGAGUGCCAGGUUACAAAUCUGGCUGUCGUGAUGCCUAAAAAGCAUUGCAUAGCAAGGGCCGGGCAAGACCGGUGCCAGCCGCCGCGGUAACACCGGCGGCUCGAGUGGUAACCGUUAUUAUUGGGUCUAAAGGGUCUGUAGCCGGCCGGAUAAGUCUCUUGGGAAAUCUGGCAGCUUAACUGUCAGGCUUUCAGGAGAUACUGUCUGGCUCGAGGCCGGGAGAGGUGAGAGGUACUUCAGGGGUAGGGGUGAAAUCUCGUAAUCCUUGAAGGACCGCCAGUGGCGAAGGCGUCUCACCAGAACGGACCUGACGGCAAGGGACGAAAGCUAGGGGCACGAACCGGAUUAGAUACCCGGGUAGUCCUAGCCGUAAACGAUACUCGCUAGGUGUCGGCAACGGUGCGACCGUUGUCGGUGCCGUAGGGAAGCCGUGAAGCGAGCCACCUGGGAAGUACGGCCGCAAGGCUGAAACUUAAAGGAAUUGGCGGGGGAGCACCACAACGGGUGGAGCUUGCGGUUUAAUUGGAUUCAACGCCGG
rnacentral:rRNA from 1 species